AGUCGAGCGGUAGAGAGAAGCUUGCUUCUCUUGAGAGCGGCGGACGGGUGAGUAAUGCCUAGGAAUCUGCCUGGUAGUGGGGGAUAACGUCCGGAAACGGACGCUAAUACCGCAUACGUCCUACGGGAGAAAGCAGGGGACCUUCGGGCCUUGCGCUAUCAGAUGAGCCUAGGUCGGAUUAGCUAGUUGGUGAGGUAAUGGCUCACCAAGGCGACGAUCCGUAACUGGUCUGAGAGGAUGAUCAGUCACACUGGAACUGAGACACGGUCCAGACUCCUACGGGAGGCAGCAGUGGGGAAUAUUGGACAAUGGGCGAAAGCCUGAUCCAGCCAUGCCGCGUGUGUGAAGAAGGUCUUCGGAUUGUAAAGCACUUUAAGUUGGGAGGAAGGGCAUUAACCUAAUACGUUAGUGUUUUGACGUUACCGACAGAAUAAGCACCGGCUAACUCUGUGCCAGCAGCCGCGGUAAUACAGAGGGUGCAAGCGUUAAUCGGAAUUACUGGGCGUAAAGCGCGCGUAGGUGGUUUGUUAAGUUGGAUGUGAAAGCCCCGGGCUCAACCUGGGAACUGCAUUCAAAACUGACAAGCUAGAGUAUGGUAGAGGGUGGUGGAAUUUCCUGUGUAGCGGUGAAAUGCGUAGAUAUAGGAAGGAACACCAGUGGCGAAGGCGACCACCUGGACUGAUACUGACACUGAGGUGCGAAAGCGUGGGGAGCAAACAGGAUUAGAUACCCUGGUAGUCCACGCCGUAAACGAUGUCAACUAGCCGUUGGGAGCCUUGAGCUCUUAGUGGCGCAGCUAACGCAUUAAGUUGACCGCCUGGGGAGUACGGCCGCAAGGUUAAAACUCAAAUGAAUUGAC
rnacentral:rRNA from 1 species